GUGGGCAACACAUAAGGUAAGCUUGGGAUGAUACGGAGAAGAAUUGCAUGGCCUUUGUGCAAGAAGGACACAUAAAUUUGUGAAACAUUCCAUAUUUUU